UAUAGUUCUUCGGAACUAGAGACCGGCGCACGGGUGCGUAACGCGUAUGCAAUCUACCUUUUACAGAGGGAUAGCCCAGAGAAAUUUGGAUUAAUACCUCAUAGCAUAGCAACUUCGCAUGAAGUCACUAUUAAAGUCACAACGGUAAAAGAUGAGCAUGCGUCCCAUUAGCUAGUUGGUAAGGUAACGGCUUACCAAGGCUACGAUGGGUAGGGGUCCUGAGAGGGAGAUCCCCCACACUGGUACUGAGACACGGACCAGACUCCUACGGGAGGCAGCAGUGAGGAAUAUUGGACAAUGGGCGCAAGCCUGAUCCAGCCAUGCCGCGUGCAGGAUGACGGUCCUAUGGAUUGUAAACUGCUUUUAUACGAGAAGAAACACUCCAACGUGUUGGAGCUUGACGGUAUCGUAAGAAUAAGGAUCGGCUAACUCCGUGCCAGCAGCCGCGGUAAUACGGAGGAUCCAAGCGUUAUCCGGAAUCAUUGGGUUUAAAGGGUCCGUAGGCGGUUUAGUAAGUCAGUGGUGAAAGCCCAUCGCUCAACGGUGGAACGGCCAUUGAUACUGCUAAACUUGAAUUAUUAGGAAGUAACUAGAAUAUGUAGUGUAGCGGUGAAAUGCUUAGAGAUUACAUGGAAUACCAAUUGCGAAGGCAGGUUACUACUAAUGGAUUGACGCUGAUGGACGAAAGCGUGGGUAGCGAACAGGAUUAGAUACCCUGGUAGUCCACGCCGUAAACGAUGGAUACUAGCUGUUGGAAG
rnacentral:rRNA from 1 species